GACGAACCGUGCAAACGUUGUUCGGAUUCACUGGGCGUAAAGGGCGCGUAGGCGGCAAUUCAAGUCAUCUGUGAAAUCUCCGGGCUUAACCCGGAACGGUCAGGUGAUACUGUUUUGCUAGAGUGCGGAAGGGGCAAUCGGAAUUCUCGGUGUAGCGGUGAAAUGCGUAGAUAUCGAGAGGAACACCAGAGGUGAAGACGGGUUGCUGGGCCGACACUGACGCUGACAGCGCGAAAGCCAGGGGAGCAAACGGG
rnacentral:rRNA from 1 species